CGGUGCGCUGGCGCAAUGGUAGCGCGUAGUCCUCCUAAGACUAAGGCUCAGGGUUCGAGUCCCUGGUGUAUCGGC
rnacentral:tRNA from 1 species